GCGGAAUCACAGUGUCCAUUUAAAUGGAGCACCUCCUGGGUAGAUGGCCGGCUGUUGAGCCAGUACUUAUGUGCAGAGACCUUUGCUCUCUUAGAAGCAACUGUCAUUUAUUCUUUCGUUAGAUAAGUAAUUUAAUAUAAUUUAAUAUUCUAUUAAUUAAAUUAUUGUCAGCUCUUAGAGUGGAGCUAACCUAAUGGUAAUGCUGCCAUGGUUAG